AUUGAACGCUGGCGGAAUGCUUUACACAUGCAAGUCGAACGGCAGCACGGACUUCGGUCUGGUGGCGAGUGGCGAACGGGUGAGUAAUGUAUCGGAAUGUGCCCAGUCGUGGGGGAUAACGUAGUGAAAAUUACGCUAAUACCGCAUACGAUCUAUGGAUGAAAGCGGGGGAUCGCAAGACCUCGCGCGAUUGGAGCGGCCGAUAUCAGAUUAGGUAGUAGGUGGGGUAAAGGCCCACCAAGCCAACGAUCUGUAGCUGGUCUGAGAGGACGACCAGCCACACUGGAACUGAGACACGGUCCAGACUCCUACGGGAGGCAGCAGUGGGGAAUUUUGGACAAUGGGCGAAAGCCUGAUCCAGCCAUUCCGCGUGCAGGAUGAAGGCCCUCGGGUUGUAAACUGCUUUUGUACAGAACGAAAAGGUUUCUACUAAUACUAGGAGCUCAUGACGGUACUGUAAGAAUAAGCACCGGCUAACUACGUGCCAGCCGCCGCAGUAA
rnacentral:rRNA from 1 species